rnacentral:rRNA from 1 species
GAUCAACGCUGGCGGCGUGCCUAAUACAUGCAAGUCGAGCGAACAGACGAGGAGCUUGCUCCUCUGACGUUAGCGGCGGACGGGUGAGUAACACGUGGAUAACCUACCUAUAAGACUGGGAUAACUUCGGGAAACCGGAGCUAAUACCGGAUAACAUGUUGAACCGCAUGGUUCAACAGUGAAAGACGGUCUUGCUGUCACUUAUAGAUGGAUCCGCGCCGCAUUAGCUAGUUGGUAAGGUAACGGCUUACCAAGGCAACGAUGCGUAGCCGACCUGAGAGGGUGAUCGGCCACACUGGAACUGAGACACGGUCCAGACUCCUACGGGAGGCAGCAGUAGGGAAUCUUCCGCAAUGGGCGAAAGCCUGACGGAGCGACGCCGCGUGAGUGAUGAAGGUCUUCGGAUCGUAAAACUCUGUUAUUAGGGAAGAACAAAUGUGUAAGUAACUAUGCACGUCUUGACGGUACCUAAUCAGAAAGCCACGGCUAACUACGUG